AUGACUGUGGGGGCAGGAAUAUCUAUUGCUGAUGGUAACUUGAUGGUGUUGGGAAAGAAGGUUCUGAGUCAUGUUCAUGACAAUGUCCUUGUUACCUCUGCUUCUGGUGGUUCAUUGCUCAAUGGUGCAUUUCUUGGUGUUUCAUCUCAUCAAAAGGGUAGUCGAAGUGUUUUUCCCAUUGGCAAGCUUGAGGGUUUAAGAUUUAUGAGCCUUUUUCGGUUCAAAAUGUGGUGGAUGACACAGAGAAUGGGUACUUGUGGACAAGAAAUUCCCAUUGAGACACAGUUUUUGCUUAUUGAAGCACACAAGGGUUGUGAUAUUGAUGGAGGGAUCAACAAUGGAGAAGAAGAUCAAGCUGGUUCUACCUACGCGGUUAUUUUACCUCUUUUGGAAGGUGAUUUCAGAGCAGUUCUCCAAGGAAACGAUCUAAAUGAAAUUGAGAUUUGUGUGGAAAGUGGAUGUCCUGAUGUGGAGGAAUUUGAUGGAACUCAUCUUGUGUUCAUUGGGGCUGGAUCAGAUCCUUAUGAAGUUAUAACAAAUGCUGUCAAGACUGUUGAGAGACACUUGAAGACAUUUUGUCAUCGCGAGCGAAAGAAGAUGCCAGAUAUGCUGAACUGGUUUGGGUGGUGUACAUGGGAUGCUUUCUAUACCAAUGUCACUUCAGAGAAUGUGAAGCAAGGAUUACACAGUUUUGAGGAAGGUGGAAUUCCUGCUAAGUUUGUCAUAAUUGAUGAUGGAUGGCAAUCUGUUAGCAUGGAUCCCAAUGGUAUUGAAUGGAAAGCUGAUUGUGCAGCCAACUUUGCAAAUCGCUUAACUCAUAUAAAAGAGAAUCACAAAUUCCAGAAGGAUGGCAAGGAAGGUCACAGGAAUGAGGACCCUGCCAAGGGACUUCAACAUAUUACCAAUGAAAUAAAAAAAGAACAUGCCAUAAAGCACGUGUAUGUGUGGCAUGCGAUAACAGGAUAUUGGGGUGGUGUUAAACCUGAUACUAAUGGCAUGGAACACUAUGAGUCAAAGAUGACAUUCCCUAUCUCAUCUCCUGGAGUCAAGUCCAAUCAACCAGAUGAAGCUUUAGAUACCAUUGCAAUAAAUGGACUUGGCCUUGUGAAUCCUGAGAAAGUGUUUCACUUUUAUGAUGAACUCCACUCAUAUCUAGCAUCUGCUGGUAUUGAUGGUGUCAAAGUUGAUGUUCAGAAUAUCCUUGAAACUCUCGGGGCAGGACACGGUGGACGAGUGAAACUCGCAAGGAAAUACCACCAGGCCUUGGAGGCAUCAAUCUCAAGGAACUUUCCUGAUAAUGGAAUCAUUUGUUGCAUGAGUCACAAUACAGAUGGAUUGUAUAGUGCAAAGCGCUCAGCUAUUAUUAGAGCAUCAGAUGAUUUCUGGCCCAGAGAUCCUGCAUCCCACACAAUUCACAUUGCAUCAGUUGCAUACAAUACUAUUUUCCUCGGCGAAUUUAUGCAGCCAGAUUGGGACAUGUUUCAUAGCCUACAUCCAAUGGCUGAAUAUCAUGCUGCUGCAAGAGCAAUUGGAGGAUGUCCUAUUUAUGUCAGUGACAAGCCUGGACACCAUGACUUUAAUUUGUUAAAGAAGCUUGUACUUCCUGAUGGUUCUAUAUUAAGAGCUAAACUUCCAGGAAGACCAACCAAGGAUUGUUUAUUUGCUGAUCCUGCUAGAGAUGGAAAAAGUCUUCUAAAGAUAUGGAACAUGAAUGACUUUUCCGGAGUUGUUGGUGUAUUCAAUUGCCAAGGAGCUGGGUGGUGCAAAGUUGAAAAGAAGAACCUUAUCCACGACAAGAAUCCAGGCAUGGUCACUGGCGUCGUUUGGGCUAAAGAUGUUGAUCAUUUAUCUGCGGCUGCAGAUGAUAAAUGGAAAGGAGACACAGUUAUAUUUUCGCAUCUUUGUGGCGAAUUAGUCUACCUUCCAAAGGAUGUUUCUAUCUCAGUUACUUUGAAAUUGCGAGAAUAUGAAGUUUUUACAUUAGUCCCUGUGAAGGAAUUACCAAAUGGUGUCAAAUUUGCUCCUAUUGGUUUAAUCAAGAUGUUCAAUUCAGGAGGAGCUGUCAAAGAGUUCAGCUAUGGACCAAAUGGAAGUGAAAAUGUCACCAUGAAAGUGCGCGGAUGUGGCCAAUUCGGUGCUUAUUCAUCGGCUCGGCCCAAGUUGAUUACUGUUGAUUCAGAAGAGGUUGAAUUCAGUUAUGAGGAAGAAUCUAGAUUGGUGAUUAUUGAUUUGAGAGUACCAGAGAAAGAGUUAUACCAAUGGAGCAUUUCUAUUGAUUUAUAAAUCAAAAAAUAUUUUAGUUAAAUUUCAAGUUGAUGAAAUUGAUGAUACAUGGCAUGGAGAAGAAGAUCAAGCUGGUUCUACCUACACGGUUAUUUUACCUCUUUUGGAAGGUAAUUUCAGAGCAGUUCUUCAAGGGAAUGAUCUAAAUGAAAUUGAGACAUGUGUGGAAAGUGUACUAUGCAGGGAUUGUUGGAAGAUAUCCAAAGAUAUGCGGGGGCAUGGCGUCGAGCACAAGAAGAACAGAAAGUGAGGUUCAUCCAACAUGAAUCGCGCCUCAAAAGAUUGGAGCAAUCAGUGAAGAGACAAGUAACUGGGAUGAAGAGACGAGUAAACGCGAUGGAGACGAAAAAGAAUGAAUCAGAUAAUAAAUGGAUGACAGGAGAUGCAAUUGCAUUUUCCCAUCUAAGUGGAAAAGUUAUUUACAUCCCAAAGAAUGUACCUUUUACAGUGAACUUGAAUUCCCUAGAAUAUGAAGUUUUUACAUUAGUCCCUGUGAAGGAAUUAAGAGAUGGUGUGAAAUUUGCUCCUAUUGGUUUAAUUAAUUCAAGAGGGGUUGUGAAUGUUACAGAAUGGAAUUGUUGUGGACCUAAUGCAAGUACAGAUGUUACCAAUGUUAACAUGAAAGUUUUUGGAUGUGGCAAAUAUGCUGCAUAUUCAUCAGUUAGGCCUAAGUUGAUAGCAAUUGAUUCACAUAUGGUGGAAUUUAGUUAUGAUCAAGAAUCUGGAUUGGUCACUAUUGAAUUGAAAGUACCAGAGGUAGUAGGAUUGUGUCAAUGGGUUAUUUCUUUUUAUUUAUGAAAUAUAAAUGAACCAGAUAUUUUUCACUUUAGGUAGUGGAAAUUUUAUGACUCAAAUACUUGGAUUUAUGUUUGUACUUGUAAUGCCUAAUAAUUCUGAUAAUGAAUCACUAGAAACAUAUGAAUGAAUAUAUAUCAAAUUUCUUGUAA